rnacentral:rRNA from 1 species
GGUAGGACUCUCGGCAACAGAUAUCUCGGCUCUCGCAUCGAUGAAGAACGUAGCGAAAUGCGAUACGUGGUGUGAAUUCCAGAAUCCUGCAAACCAUCGAGUCUUUGAAUGCAAGUUGCGCUCGAGGCCAUCCGACCGAGGGCACGCCUGCCUGGGCGUCACGC